rnacentral:rRNA from 1 species
GACGAACGCUGGCGGCGUGCCUAAUACAUGCAAGUAGAACGCUGAAGAGAGGAGCUUGCUCUUCUUGGAUGAGUUGCGAACGGGUGAGUAACGCGUAGGUAACCUGCCUUGUAGCGGGGGAUAACUAUUGGAAACGAUAGCUAAUACCGCAUAACAAUGGAUGACACAUGUCAUUUAUUUGAAAGGGGCAAUUGCUCCACUACAAGAUGGACCUGCGUUGUAUUAGCUAGUAGGUGAGGUAAUGGCUCACCUAGGCGACGAUACAUGGCCGACCUGAGAGGGUGAUCGCCCACACUGGGACGGAGACACGGCCCAGACUCCUACGGGAGGCAGCAGUAGGGAAUCUUCGGCAAUGGGGGCAACCCUGACCGAGCAACGCCGCGUGAGUGAAGAAGGUUUUCGGAUCGUAAAGCUCGGUUGUAAGUCAAGAACGGGUGUGAGAGUGGAAAGUUCACACUGUGACGGUAGCUUACCAGAAAGGGACGGCUAACUACGUG